rnacentral:rRNA from 1 species
GACGAACGCUGGCGGCGUGCUUAACACAUGCAAGUCGAACGAAGAGCGACGGAAGCUUGCUUCUAUCAAUCUUAGUGGCGAACGGGUGAGUAACGCGUAAUCAACCUGCCCUUCAGAGGGGGACAACAGUUGGAAACGACUGCUAAUACCGCAUACGAUCUAAUCUCGGCAUCGAGGAUAGAUGAAAGGUGGCCUCUACAUGUAAGCUAUCACUGAAGGAGGGGAUUGCGUCUGAUUAGCUAGUUGGAGGGGUAACGGCCCACCAAGGCGAUGAUCAGUAGCCGGUCUGAGAGGAUGAACGGCCACAUUGGGACUGAGACACGGCCCAGACUCCUACGGGAGGCAGCAGUGGGGAAUCUUCCGCAAUGGACGAAAGUCUGACGGAGCAACGCCGCGUGAGUGAUGACGGCCUUCGGGUUGUAAAGCUCUGCUAAUCGGGACGAAAGGCCUUCUUGCGAAUAGGAAAAGGAUGACGGUACCGG